rnacentral:misc_RNA from 1 species
AACACUGUUAACCUGCGGUACCUGCGGAGGGAUCAUUAUUGAAUAUUCUUGAUGGGUUGUAGCUGGCUCUUUGGAGCAUGUGCACGCCUGUCUUGACUUUAUUCAUCCACCUGUGCACCUUUUGUAGUCUUGGGGGUCAGAGCAAGUCGACUUGUCGGAUCCGAUCCGGAUGUGAGGAUUGCUGAGUGCGGAAGCAUGCGGCUCUCUUCAAAAUGACUUGCAAAAGCCCUUGAGUACUAU